rnacentral:pre_miRNA from 1 species
UUAACUCAUAUUUGUGUGGAGUUGGAACGUUUGCCUACGUUUGUCGCUAGGGGCACUGUUCCAAUUGAAUACAAAUUUGAGUAA